GCCAGCCCGCUCAAGAAACUUAAAGGAAUUGACGGGGGCCCGCACAAGCGGUGGAGCAUGUGGUUUAAUUCGAUGAUACGCGAGGAACCUUACCUGGGCUCAAAUGUAUGUUGACGUAUUCUGAAAGGGAUACUUCUUCGGACAAUAUACAAGGUGCUGCAUGGUUGUCGUCAGCUCGUGCCGUGAGGUGUCGGGUUAAGUCCCAUAACGAGCGCAACCCCUAUCAUUAGUUGCCAUCAGGUCAAGCUGGGGACUCUAAUGAAACUGCCUACGCAAGUAGUGAGGAAGGUGGGGAUGACGUCAAAUCAGCACGGCCCUUACGUCCAGGGCUACACACGUGCUACAAUGGCCGGUACAAAGGGCAGCUACCUGGUGACAGGAUGCUAAUCUCAAAAGCCGGUCUCAGUUCGGAUCGGAGUCUGCAACCCGGCUCCGUGAAGCUGGAAUCGCUAGUAAUCGCGCAUCAGCCAUGGCGCGGUGAAUACGUUCCCGGGCCUU
rnacentral:rRNA from 1 species